UGGCAACAAACAGAUCUGAGAAGAGAUGCUACACAUGCUAUUAAAACUACAGUGGAUGCUGUGCACACUAGGAAAACAGCAAGCCUGGAAAAAUAAAAGACAGCCAGCCAAACAGUACAAAGACAAGCACGAAGCACUAUCAGGAGCAGACCAUAAGUCAUGCCCUAAAUGUGGUAAGUCGCAUGCUAAAUUCCAGUGCCCAGCAAAGAAUGCAGACUGCCUCAACUGUGGUAAGAGAGGGCAUUAUGGCAAAGUGUGCAAGUCUACCAAAAGUGUGAGUGCUGUCACGGAAGAUGACGACAUAUUCCUGGGAACCGUUGAUGCAGGAGAAAAUGCAUGGACAGUAGACCUACAAGCAUGCAAGUGCAGAGGGGGGGGGGGGCUACGGGUGCUUGAGCACCUGCCCUUUUGCCCCCUCAAGGCCAAAGUGCCGUUUUUUUGUCCAUAUUUUUUUCAUAUUUUCUCUGUGACGAUGGCCCACAAGUGGUCUGUUUAAGAAGAAUAUUUAACAAUAAUAAUUAGCUAGAUAAAACGACCUAAACCUUCAUAUCACAUGAAGACCAGGGUUAUCGCGUGACGCGUGUCCUCUUCCUGCCAGGCGCGCCACUUGGACACAGCCACAGCAUGGAUGUAUUAAGUGAACGGGACACAGUCCGUCGGCGGCCAGCAAGAACGAGAGAAAGUUGGAAGUUGAAGUGCCGUUCCAUGUAGCAUGUGAUUCCAGGCAGCAGUUUGCUCCUAUGGUUGGGCUUUAGCCAGGCCACUAAGGACAGUAUCUUCACCUCAGCAGCUCUUUGCAGCUCUUUGUGUGCAGCAGCCAUGUCCCUGGAAGCAUCUCCCUCUGCCUUUGCUGUAACCAGUAAGCUGAACAUGACAUCAGGUCAGUCACAGUGAGCCACUUCUUAGCAGUGUCAGCAAGCUUUGACGCUCUCGCCUCCAUAACAUAGGAAUCCCACAGA